CGCCGCGUGAGGGAUGACGGCCUUCGGGUUGUAAACCUCUUUCAGCAGGGAAGAAGCGAAAGUGACGGUACCUGCAGAAGAAGCACCGGCUAACUACGUGCCAGCAGCCGCGGUAAUACGUAGGGUGCGAGCGUUGUCCGGAAUUAUUGGGCGUAAAGAGCUCGUAGGCGGCUUGUCACGUCGGAUGUGAAAACCCGGGGCUCAACCCCGGGCCUGCAUUCGAUACGGGCAGGCUAGAGUUCGGCAGGGGAGACUGGAAUUCCUGGUGUAGCGGUGAAAUGCGCAGAUAUCAGGAGGAACACCGGUGGCGAAGGCGGGUCUCUGGGCCGAUACUGACGCUGAGGAGCGAAAGCGUGGGGAGCGAACAGGAUUAGAUACCCUGGUAGUCCACGCCGUAAACGUUGGGCACUAGGUGUGGGCGACAUUCCACGUUGUCCGUGCCGCAGCUAACGCAUUAAGUGCCCCGCCUGGGGAGUACGGCCGCAAGGCUAAAACUCAAAGGAAUUGACGGGGGCCCGCACAAGCAGCGGAGCAUGUGGCUUAAUUCGACGCAACGCGAAGAACCUUACCAAGGCUUGACAUCGCCGGAAAACUCGCAGAGAUGCGGGGUCCUUUUGGGCC
rnacentral:rRNA from 2 species